CUACGGGUGGCUGCAGUGAGGAAUAUUGCACAAUGGGGGAAACCCUGAUGCAGCAACGCCGCGUGGAGGAUGACGCAUUUCGGUGUGUAAACUCCUUUUAUGAGUCAAGAAAAUGACGGUAGCUCAUGAAUAAGCACCGGCUAACUCCGUGCCAGCAGCCGCGGUAAUACGGAGGGUGCAAGCGUUACUCGGAAUCACUGGGCGUAAAGGACGCGUAGGCGGGAUGUCAAGUCAGGUGUGAAAUCCUAUGGCUCAACCAUAGAACUGCACUUGAAACUGGCAACCUAGAGUAUGGGAGGGGGAGAUGGAAUUAGUGGUGUAGGGGUAAAAUCCGUAGAUAUCACUAGGAAUACCGAAAGCGAAGGCGAUCUCCUGGAACAUUACUGACGCUAAGGCGUGAAAGCGUGGGGAGCAAACAGGAUUAGAUACCCGAGUAGUC
rnacentral:rRNA from 1 species